GACGAACGCUGGCGGCGUGCUUAACACAUGCCAGUCGAACGGAAAGGCCCUGCUUUUGUGGGGUGCUCGAGUGGCGAACGGGUGAGUAACACGUGAGUAACCUGCCCUUGACUUUGGGAUAACUUCAGGAAACUGGGGCUAAUACCGCAUAGGAGCUCCUGCUGCAUGGUGGGGGUUGGAAAGUUUCGGCGGUUGGGGAUGGAUUCGCAGCUUAUCCGCUUGUUGGUGGGGUAGUGGCUUACCAAGGCUUUGACGGGUAGGCGGCCUGAGAGGGUGACCGGCGACAUUGGGCCUGCGGGACGGCGCAGAAUGCUACGGGACGCAGCAGUGGGGAAUCUUGCGCAGCGGGCGCAAGCCUGAUGUAGCAGCGCCGCGUGCGUGAUGACGUCUUUCGGGUUGAAAACAGAUUUCGCCUGUGACGAAGCCUGAGUGACGGUAAUGGGUCAAGAAGCACCGGCUAACUACGUG
rnacentral:rRNA from 1 species